rnacentral:rRNA from 1 species
CAACAGACGGAAACGACUGCUAAUACCGAAUAAGUUCCAAGAGCCGCAUGGCCCAUGGAAGAAAAGGUGGCCUCUACCUGUAAGCUAUCGCCUGAAGAGGGGUUUGCGUCUGAUUAGCUGGUUGGAGGGGUAACGGCCCACCAAGGCGACGAUCAGUAGCCGGUCUGAGAGGAUGAACGGCCACACUGGAACUGAGACACGGUCCAGACUCCUACGGGAGGCAGCAUG